UUUUUCUUUGGCUUUUAAAAAAAAAUAUUGGGGAUGGGGGUGCCUGAUCAAGUGAUGGUUAAAGAAAAGCUAUUAUCGCAGAUUUUUAAUACGACUUGAUAUUAAGGAUGACCGAAUUAAGAAUUUUUUUUUUAGAUGUGAGCUACAAAAAUAACGAUACGCCCAUUUUUACGGGGUAAUCCGCAGUUAAAGUGAAACCUCGGUGUCCCAGUGGUGUUCUCUGUGCCCCAGGGACCCCGCCUUGCCCUUCCACCCUCCACGCCGAAGCAUUAAUUAAUGGUCCCCAAAAGGGACACCGUGUGAUCACAAAGCAGAUUGUGUUCUGCAUCCUGAUUGGCCAAAGGACUGUCGACUAAUCAUCAACUGUCUCAUCGCUGUACAGCUUUCCAAAAUUUCCAAAAUGACAAAACCCACAAUGUCAACAAAACGUUCUGUCCAGUAUUUACAAAACCAGGUCGAUUGUAAGAAAAUGUUCAUAGAUUUUUUUUAAAUGCUUAGGCCUGAAAAAAAGUUUCAUCUUUGGUUUCAUUCAGUACAAUAUUGUAUACGUCAUAAUUGUAAAAAAAAAAAUUGACUACUUCAUGGA